GACAGAGGGUGCAAACGUUGCUCGGAAUACUGGGGCGUAAAAGCGUGCGCAGGCGGUUGGCAAAAGUCAGCUGUGAAAGCCCCCGGGCUUAACCUGGGAAUGGCGGUUGAAAACUAGUCGACUCGAAUCUGGCAGAGGGGGUGGAAUUCCACGUGUAGCAGUGAAAUGCGUAGAGAUGUGAAGGAACACCGAUGGCGAAGGCAGCCCCCUGGGCUGAGAUUGACGCUCAGGCACGAAAGCGUGGGGGAGC
rnacentral:rRNA from 1 species